rfam:Capsicum annuum cultivar Zunla-1 unplaced genomic scaffold scaffold4217, whole genome shotgun sequence
GUACAAAUGAGGAAAGGCUUACGGUGGAUACCUAGGCACCCAGAGACGAGGAAGGGCAUAGUAAUCGACGAAAUACUUUGGGGAGUUGAAAAUAAGCAUAGAUCCGGACAUUCCCGAAUAGGGCAAACUUUUGAACUACUGCUGAAUCCAUGGGCAGGCAAGAGAAACCCUGGAGAACUGAAACAUCAUAGUAGCCAGAGGAAAAGAAAGCAAAAGAGAUUCCCGUGGUAGCGGCGAGCCAAAUGAGAGCAGCCUAAAUAGUGAAAAUGGGGUUGUGGGAGAGCAAUACAAGUGUCAUGAUACUAGGCGAAGCAACUUUAAUGUUGCACCCUAGAUGGAGAAUGUCCAGUAGCCGAAAGCAUCACUAGCUUACUCUCUGACCCGAGUAGCAUGGGGCAUGUGGAAUCCCAUGUCAAUCAGAAAGGACAACCUUGCAAGGCUAAGUAGUACUAUGAGGGAAGGGUGAAAAGAACCUCCAUCGGGGAGUAAAAUAGAACAUGAAAUUGUAAGCUCCCAAGCAGUGGGAGGAGCCAGGGCUCUAACCGCGUGCCUAUUGAAGAAUGAACCGGUGACUCAUAUGCAGUGUCUUGGUUAAGGCAACCCACCGGAGCUGUAGCAAAAGCGAGUCUUCAUAGGGCAAUUGUCACUGCUUAUGGACCCAAACCGUGGUGAUCUAUCCAUGAACAGGAUGAAGCUUGGGUGAAACUAAGUGGAGGUCCAAACCGACUGAUGUUGAAGAAUCAGCCGAAGAGUUGUGGUUAGGGGUGAAAUGCCACUCGAACCCAGAGCUAGCUUGUUCUCCCCAAAAUGCGUUGUGGCGUAGCAGUUGACUGGACAUCUAGGGGUAAAGCACUAUUUUGGUGCGGGCCACGAGAGCGGUACCAAAUCGAGGCAAACUCUAAAUACUAGGUAUGGCCUUAAAAUUAAAAAAGAGGGGUCAAAGUCGGCUAGUGAGACGAUGGGGGAUAAGCUUCAUCGUCGAGAGGGAAACAGCUCGGAUCACCAGCUAAGGCCGCUAAAUGGCCUCUCAGUGAUAAAGAAGGUAGGGGUGUGGAGACAGCCAGGAGGUUUGCCUAGAAGCAGCCACCCUUAAAAGAGUGCGUAAUAGCUCACUAAUUGAGCGCUCUUGCGCCGAAGAUGAAUGAGGCUAAGUGAUCUGCAUAAUCUAUGGGGUGUAAAAAUAUAUUAGUAGGGGAGCGUUCCGCCUUAGAGGGAAGCCUCUGCACGAGCGGUGAUGGACGAAGCGGAAGCGAGAAUGUCGUCUUGAUUAAAGCAAACAUUGGUGAGAAUCCAAUGCCCCGAAAACCUAAGGGUUCCUCCACAAGGUUUGUCUAUGGAGGGUAAGUCAGGGCCUAAGAUCAGGCCAAAAGGUGUAGUCAAUGGACAACAGGUGAAUAUUCCUGUACUACCCCUUCUUGGUCCCGAGGGACGGAGGAGGCUAGGUUAGCCGAAAGAUGGUUAUCGGUUCAAGAACGUAAGGUGUCCCUACCCUUUUUUCAGGGUAAGAAGGGUUAGAGAAAAUUCCUUGAGCCAAUGAUUAAAUACCAGGUGCUACGACGCUGAAGUAACCCAUGCCAUACUCCCACGAAAAGCUUGAACGACUUUGAGCAAGAGGGUACCUGUACCCAAAACCGGCACAGAUGGGUAGGUAGAGAAUACCUAGGGGCACGAGAUAACUCUCUCUAAAAAACUCGGCAAAAUAGCCCCGUAACUUUAGGAGAAGGGGUGGUGCCUUUUCACAUCAUAAAGGGGGUCACAGUGACCAGGCUUGGGCGACUCUUUACCAAAAACACAAGUCUCCGCAAGGUCAUAAGACCAUGUAUGGGGGCUGACGCCUGCCCAGUGCCGGAAGGUCAAGGAAGUUGGUGACCUGAUGAUAGAGGAGCCAGCGACCGAAGCCUCGGUGAACGGCGGCCAUAACUAUAACGGUCCUAAGGUAGUGAAAUUCCUUGUCGGGUAAGUUCCGACCCAAACGAAAGGUAUAAUGAUCUGGGCACUGUCUUGGAGAGAGGCUCGGUGAAAUAGACAUGUCUGUGAAGAUGUGGACUAUCUGCACCUUGACAGAAAGACCCUAUGAAGCUUCACUGUUCCCUAGCAUUGGCUUUGGGCCUUUCCUGCGCAGCUUAGGUGAAAGCCGAAGAAGGCCUCCUUCCGGGGGGCUCGAGCCAUCAGUGAGAUACCACUCUGGAAGGGCUAGAAUUCUAACCUUGUGUCAGGACCUACGAGCCAAGGGACAGUCUCAGGUAGUCAAUUUCUAUGGGGCGUAGGCCUCCCAAAAGGUAACAGAGGCGUGCAAACGUUUCCUCGGGCCAUACAGAGAUUGGCCCUCGGAUGCAAAGACGUAAGGGAUCUUGACUGCAAGACCCACCCAUCGAGAAGGGACGAAAGUCGACCUUAGUGAUCCCACGGUAUCGAGUGGAAGGGCCGUCGCUUAAUGGAUAAAAGUUACAAUAGGGAUAACAGGCUGAUCUUUCCCAAGAGAUCACAUUGACGGGAAGGUUUAGCACUUCGAUGUCGGCUCUUUGCCACCUGGGGUUGUAGUAUGUUCCAAGGGUUGGGUUGUUCGCCCAUUAAAUCGGUACGUGAGCUGGGUUCAAAAUGUCGUGAGACAGUACGGUCCAUAUCCGGUGUGGGAGUUAGAGCAUUGAGAGGACCUUUCCCUAGUGAGAGAGGACCGGGAAGGACGCACCUCUGGUGUACCAGUUAUCAUGCCCACGGUAAAUGGUGGGUAGCCAAGUGCGGAGCGGAUAACUGCUGAAAGCAUCUAAAUAGUAAGCCCACCAUAAGAUGAGUUCUCUCCUAUUCCCACUUCCCCAGAGCUUCCAGUAGCACAACCAAGACAAGGAUGGGUUCUCGGCCCCUGUGGGGAUGGAGCGACAAAAGUUUUUUUGAGAAUUCAAGAGAAGGUCACGGUGAGACGAGCCGUUUAUCAUUACGAUAGGUGUCAAGUGGAAGUGCAGUGAUGUAUGCAGCUGAGGCAUCCUAACAGAUCGGUAGACUUGAACCU